UAUAGGGCAGGGACCAGUGGCUGCCAGCUGCCGUGCCGCCGCGCCCCGGGCCGGGCCGGCUGCUAGGUACGCCUACCAGUGAGUUGCUGCACACGUUCACGUAGCAGCGGUGCUCCCCGUCCAGGCUGGUACGCAGCACAUGGCCCGGCUCAGGGUGCACGAACCGCACAUCCACCCCACGCUCCCGCUCCAGGGCUGUGAUCUCCUCCUCGUAGCGCCUCCGGUUCUCGGGGUCCGUGAUCUCCGCGGCGUACUCGGAGAACAUUCGGCGGAACUCUGGGUCCUGAAAGGCGGAGGUGAACCGCUGCACCUCCUCUCUGCUCAGAUCCAAGUCCUCCAGCGCUGAGGAGGCCGCCGCCUUGGCCAUGGUGACCCACACGGCCCAAUGCCCAGACCCAGUGAAGGAUCAGGGUGAAUUGAGUGUCUAGGAUGCGCUUCAGAGUCUGGCUCAUGGAGAACUGACCAGUCCAAGAAGGCCUUCCUCUGUUACAUUUUAAGUAGACUGUCCCAAGAUUGGGAUGACACCUCAUCUCCGUUAUGCCAUCUCUUUCACAUGCUAAAUAUAUGUACUCAACUACCAUGGUGACUCUGAGUUCAAGGCCAGCCUGGUCUGCAGAGCAAGUUCCAGAAAAGCCAAGGAAUCCAGAGAAACGCUGUCUUGAAAACCCAAAACAACUUCCCUAUUCAUGGACUUGCCAGUGCUGCUCAUCUUCCCUCUUAAAUGUCAUCUGUUACUGGAUCAGUCUGCGUCAGAUAUUUAUUGCGUACUCUACCUGUGUAAAUAAAU
rnacentral:lncRNA from 1 species